AUUGAACGCUGGCGGCAGGCUUAACACAUGCAAGUCGAGCGGGGUGAUGGUGCUUGCACUAUCACUUAGCGGCGGACGGGUGAGUAAUGCUUAGGAAUCUGCCUAUUAGUGGGGGACAACAUCUCGAAAGGGAUGCUAAUACCGCAUACGUCCUACGGGAGAAAGCAGGGGAUCACUUGUGACCUUGCGCUAAUAGAUGAGCCUAAGUCGGAUUAGCUAGUUGGGGGGGUAAAGGCCGACCAAGGCGACGAUCUGUAGCGGGUCUGAGAGGAUGAGCCGCCACACUGGGACUGAGACACGGCCCAGACUCCUGCGGGAGGCAGCAGUGGGGAAUAUUGGACAAUGGGGGGAACCCUGAUCCAGCCAUGCCGCGUGUGUGAAGAAAGACUUAUGGUUGUAAAGCACUUUAAGCGAGGAGGAGGCUCUUUUGGUUAAUACCCAAGAUGAGUGGACGUUACUCGCAGAAUAAGCACCGGCUAACUCUGUGCCAGCCGCCGCCGUAA
rnacentral:rRNA from 1 species